GGGUAGCCGGCCUGAGAGGGUGACCGGCCACACUCGGACUGAGACACGGCCCAGACUCCUACGGGAGGCAGCAGUGGGGAAUAUUGCACAAUGGGCGAAAGCCUGAUGCAGCGACGCCGCGUGCGGGAUGACGGCCUUCGGGUUGUAAACCGCUUUCAGCUCUGACGAAGCUCUUGUGACGGUAGGAGCAGAAGAAGCACCGGCUAACUACGUGCCAGCAGCCGCGGUAAUACGUAGGGUGCGAGCGUUGUCCGGAAUUAUUGGGCGUAAAGAGCUUGUAGGCGGCUUGUCGCGUCUGCUGUGAAAACCCGGGGCUUAACCCCGGGCUUGCAGUGGGUACGGGCAGGCUAGAGUGUGGUAGGGGAGACUGGAAUUCCUGGUGUAGCGGUGGAAUGCGCAGAUAUCAGGAGGAACACCGAUGGCGAAGGCAGGUCUCUGGGCCAUUACUGACGCUGAGAAGCGAAAGCGUGGGGAGCGAACAGGAUUAGAUACCCUGGUAGUCCACGCCGUAAACGUUGGGCGCUAGGUGUGGGUCCCAUUCCACGGGGUCCGUGCCGCAGCUAACGCAUUAAGCGCCCCGCCUGGGGAGUACGGCCGCAAGGCUAAAACUCAAAGGAAUUGACGGGGGCCCGCACAAGCGGCGGAGCAUGCGGAUUAAUUCGAUGCAACGCGAAGAACCUUACCAAGGCUUGACAUGUACCGGAAACCCUCAGAGAUGGGGGCCCCGCAAGGUCGGUAUACAGGUGGUGCAUGGUUGUCGUCAGCUCGUGUCGUGAGAUGUUGGGUUAAGUCCCGCAACGAGCGCAACCCUCGUUCUAUGUUGCCAGCACGUGAUGGUGGGGACUCAUAGGAGACUGCCGGGGUCAACUCGGAGGAAGGUGGGGAUGACGUCAAAUCAUCAUGCCCCUUACGUCUUGGGCUUCACGCAUGCUACAAUGGCCGGUACAGAGGGCUGCGAAACCGUGAGGUGGAGCGAAUCCCUUAAAGCUGGUCUCAGUUCAGAUUGGGGUCUGCAACUCGACCCCAUGAAGUCGGAGUCGCUAGUAAUCGCAGAUCAG
rnacentral:rRNA from 1 species